GCCGAUGUAGCUCAGAGGAAGAGCAGCUCACUCGUAAUGAGCAGGUCGUGGGUUCGAAUCCCACCGUCGGCU
rnacentral:tRNA from 1 species